rnacentral:tRNA from 1 species
GCACUUGUAGCUCAGCUGGAUAGAGCAUCCGCCUUCUAAGCGGACGGUCAUAGGUUCGAAUCCUAUCAAGUGUA